GAUGAACGCUGGCGGCGUGCCUAAUACAUGCAAGUCGAGCGAACAGACCAGUUUCUUGCUCCUCUGACGUUAGCGGCGGACGGGUGAGUAACACGUGGAUAACCUACCUAUAAGACUUGGAUAACUUCGGGAAACCGGAGUUAAUACCGGAUAAUAUAUUUAACCGCAUGGUUCAGUAGUGUAUGACGGUUUUGCUGUCACUUAUAGAUUUAUCCGCGCCGCAUUAGCUAGUUGGUUAGGUAACGGCUUACCAAGGCAACGAUGCGUAGCCGACCUGAGAGGGUGAUGGGGCACACUGGGACUGAGACGCGGUACAGACACCGAGGGGAGGCAGAAGUAGGGAAUCGAGCGAAAAGGGGGAAAGACUGACGGAGGAACGGCGGGUGAGUGAUGAAGGUCUUCGGAUCGGAAAACGGUGUUAUGGGGGAAGAACGAAUGUGUAAGUAACUAAGCACGGCGUGACGGUACCGAAUCAGAAAGCAACGGCUAACUACGUG
rnacentral:rRNA from 1 species